CAGCCGUAAACUAUGCUCGCUAGGUGUCAGGCAUGGCGCGACCGUGUCUGGUGCCGCAGGGAAGCCGUGAAGCGAGCCACCUGGGAAGUACGGCCGCAAGGCUGAAACUUAAAGGAAUUGGCGGGGGAGCACAACAACGGGUGGAGCCUGCGGUUUAAUUGGACUCAACGCCGGACAACUCACCGGGGACGACAGCAAUAUGUAGGCCAGGCUGAAGACCUUGCCUGAAUCGCUGAGAGGAGGUGCAUGGCGUAGACGUC
rnacentral:rRNA from 1 species